GCUGCGGAAGCAGCCUGGGGCUUCCGGGAGGUAGCAGGAGGCCAGGGACUCUAGGCCAAGGACGCUGCCGGCCAGAGCUCUUUCUCGACCCGACUAAAAAUCCCAGAACACACUAAAUCGCCCCUCCCAGCCGCCGAAGACGCCCAUUCCAAAGAACAAUCACACCAGCUUUCUGCAGCCGGAUUUCUCCUUCAGUUUCACCCCGCGCUUCCACUUCCGGCCCUGUGCUGGCUGUCUCGCGAUUCACUUCCGCCCAAAAGUUCGUCCAGGUUUCAGGGUCGGGUUAGUGGGGAGAUUCCGCGUCCGGGAACCCCUCCGGAUUGAGUGAGAACAAGGACCACAGUGCUGAAUGUGAGCAGCAAGGCUGACUGGAGCCAGGAUGAUGACUUCAAUUCCCAGGCACAGAUGGAUUUCUGUUCCUGGCUCCAUGCUCCGUGUCUACUGCAACUAUCCGUGUGCUACAAGCAAUCAUCCGCUUUCAGUGGAGACCUAUGAAGGGACAAGAGUGGGCAAUGAGUUGCCAGCAACUUCACCCUUUACCUUGUUGGGUUACCUGUGGCUAGAAUAGGAAUCAGCCUUAGAAAGGAAGGGACUUUUGGCAUAGUACAACAUGAAUGAAACAUUUUGUUGAGUAAGAUAUGCUAGUCAUAAAAGACAAAUGGUAUCUAUUUCUAUAUACAGCUGUCUCUAGGGUAGUAAAAUUUGUAGAAGCAGAAAGUAGAACAAUGGACACCCUAACCUGGGAAGAUGAAGGAAGAGUUAGUGUACUCUUCCUACUGGGAAGUAGGAGAAGAGUUUCUAUUUGGGAAAUGAGGCAAGUCUUCCUGUGGAAGAUGCCAGUGGCUUCACACGGUGUGAAGAUACUUAUACCAAUUAGCCAGCCACUGAAGAAUGAACAGAAGGUGUAUUUUAAUCUUCAUUAUGAUAAUUUUUAAAUUAAAAAUAUGAUCUGCAGCUACUAUGAGGUUUUUCUGUCCCUGGUCGUCUGAGCAUCCUAUUCCCCCAUCCCUACUGCCUUCCCUGCUCCUCCUCCUCCUCCAUUUUUUCCUCCCCUUCCAUUUACACUUCUUUACCCGUUUUAUCUUCCUCUGUUAUAUAUUUCACCAGCUGUAUGCCCUCUCUGUGCCUCUGUCUCCCUUUCUUCCCUCCUCAUUGGUUUUGUCUGUUUUCUAUCUUGCACCCUAGCCCCAGCUGUACUGCCACAUUAUGUCCUGUCUGUUAGAAAAUCCCACUUGUCACUUUUGUUUCCAUACUGUGUAUCUUUUGUGUCACCAGAGGGAGAAUUACCUUCAAAGCUGGUGGACCAUAUAAGCUGUAGGAAUUAACCCAAUGACUAGGAUUUCAUGAUAGAAAAUACAUCAAGACUUCACAAAUAAACUUAGUUAUUUGUCAAAAUUUAAAAAGAUAUAGGUAUGAUAAAACUUGCCAACAACCUGAAGCAUUAUAUGGACAAAAGUUAUUUUUAUAUACUAUUACAGAAUUAAUAUUCAUUUUAUGUAAACUAAAUUUGCUUUUAGGUGUUAGAAAUUUUACAUAUUUAUAGAACAUCUUAUUAGUUACUUUUGCAUUACUGUGAUUAAAAUAGAGAAGUAAUUUAAGGGAGGGAACGUUUAUUUGGCUACAGUUUCAGAACGGUAGGUACCACCUAUCCUAUAGGAUGCAUGGCUAUGGGAUGAUUGAGAGACAGCAGCUGUUUGCAUUAAGUCAGACUAGGGAGCAGAGACAGAUGAUCUGGAACCAGAAGUGGUUGUAAUGUCCACAAUGCCUGUCCCCAGUGAUUUUCUUAUGCUAGCCAGAAUCCUCCUGCUAAAGGCUCCAUACCUUCAAAAUACUGCUGUAAGCUGGGGACUGAGAAUUCACAAUAGAAGCCUAUGGCAGACAGUUUAGACUCAAUCCAUAGGAGGUAUAAAUGUGACCAUAUGAUCUUUUGAUAUAUGUGUGCAUUGUAAAAUGUUGAAAUCAGGUAAAAUAUACUGAUCUCAAUGACUUACUUGUUUAUGCUGAAAAUGUAAAAACCCUAUCAGUUUUUUUUUAAUACACAGCCAUUAUUGUUUCUAUACUAUUUACAUUUGAGGCUUAAGAUGGCUCAGAUAGUUGAGAGCACUGGCUGCUCUUCCAGAGGUCUGAGUUUAAUUCCCGGCAACCACGUGGUUUCAUAACUAUCUAUAAUGAAAUCUGGUGCUCUCUUCUGGCUUACAGGCACAUAUGCAGGCAGAACACUAUGCAAUAAAUAAAUAAAUCUUAGAUACA